GACGUAGGGGGCCAGCGUUGUUCGGAAUUACUGGGUGUAGAGGGUUCGUAGGCGGUGCGGCAAGUUGGGAGUGAAAUCUCUGGGCUUAACCCAGAGGCUGCUUCCAAAACUGCUGAUGCUUGAGUUGUGGGAGAGGGCGCGUGGAAGUUGCAUGGUGUAGCGGUGAAAUGCGUAGAUAUCUGCAGGAACACCCGUGGCGAAAGCGGCGCGCUGGACCACUACUGACGCUGAGGAACGAAAGCUGGGGGAGCAAACAGG
rnacentral:rRNA from 1 species